GGUAACCUACGGGAGGCAGCAGUGGGGAAUAUUGCACAAUGGGGGGAACCCUGAUGCAGCGACGCCGCGUGAGUGAAGAAGUAUUUCGGUAUGUAAAGCUCUAUCAGCAGGGAAGAAAAUGACGGUACCUGACUAAGAAGCCCCGGCUAACUACGUGCCAGCAGCCGCGGUAAUACGUAGGGGGCAAGCGUUAUCCGGAUUUACUGGGUGUAAAGGGAGCGUAGACGGUUAUGCAAGUCUGAAGUGAAAUCCCAAGGCUCAACCAUGGGACUGCUUUGGAAACUGCAAAACUGGAGUGAAGGAGG
rnacentral:rRNA from 1 species